AGUGAACGCUGGCGGUAGGCCUAACACAUGCAAGUCGAACGGCAGCACCGUACGAGCUUGCUCUUACGGGUGGCGAGUGGCGGACGGGUGAGGAAUACAUCGGAAUCUACUUUUUCGUGGGGGAUAACGUAGGGAAACUUACGCUAAUACCGCAUACGACCUACGGGUGAAAGCAGGGGAUCUUCGGACCUUGCGCGAUUGAAUGAGCCGAUGUCGGAUUAGCUAGUUGGCGGGGUAAAGGCCCACCAAGGCGACGAUCCGUAGCUGGUCUGAGAGGAUGAUCAGCCACACGGGAACUGAGACACGGUCCAGACGCCUACGAGAGGCAGCAGUGGGGAAUAUUGGACAAUGGGCGCAAGCCUGAUCCAGCCAUACCGCGUGGGUGAAGAAGGCCUUCGGGUUGUAAAGCCCUUUUGUUGGGAAAGAAAAGCAGCAGGUUAAUACCCCGCUGUUCUGACGGUACCCAAAGAAUAAGCACCGGCUAACUUCGUG
rnacentral:rRNA from 1 species